ensembl:snoRNA small nucleolar RNA SNORD52
UGUAAUGAUGAUUCCUUUAGACUAGAGUCUCUGAUUUAAAACUGAAGUUUUUCACAGUGCACUGAACA